rnacentral:tRNA from 1 species
UGAUAAUAUCAAACUUUUUUUCAGACUAUAAACUGAGAUAUUUAAUCAAAAACUCU